AGAUUAAGUUAUUAAGGGCGCACGGUGGAUGCCUUGGCACUAGAAGCCGAUGAAGGACGUUACUAACGACGAUAUGCUUUGGGGAGCUGUAAGUAAGCUUUGAUCCAGAGAUUUCCGAAUGGGGAAACCCAGCAUGAGUUAUGUCAUGUUAUCGAUAUGUGAAUACAUAGCAUAUCAGAAGGCACACCCGGAGAACUGAAACAUCUUAGUACCCGGAGGAAGAGAAAGAAAAUUCGAUUCCCUUAGUAGCGGCGAGCGAAACGGGAAGAGCCCAAACCAACAAGCUUGCUUGUUGGGGUUGUAGGACACUCUAUACGGAGUUACAAAGGACGACAUUAGACGAAUCAUCUGGAAAGAUGAAUCAAAGAAGGUAAUAAUCCUGUAGUCGAA
rnacentral:rRNA from 1 species